GAAGAAACUUGUAUGAUUCACAAGAGCUAAGUACACCUCCCUAAAAAACCAAAUGUGAUAUAAAAGAAAGCAUCUAUUAGCUGCUGUAAGUAUACUUCUGUUCACUGAAACAUUAAGGGAAAUUAUUAAAUUCCAUUGAAUUCCCUUAUCAUUAAUCAGCUUUAUUUCUAAAGUGACUUGAUACUGCUGAAAUUUUUUUUUUUUUUUUAAGAAAAAUAGCAGCAUGCCUGUUUUAGAUUUAAAUUUUCCUAUAUUUUCCGAAGUAAAAAAUCCUUGAAAUUUUAACACAACUUUUUUGUAGGUGUCUACUUUGAAUCUGAAAAUUUUCAUACUUUUUGGUUAAACAAAUUAUUUUCGGUGAAUUUUACGGUACAAGUCAUUUUUGCAGUUUUUAUUACCUCAAUAAGUCUAACUUUAUUUCUUUGAGUUACCCUUGUAGUUUGGUGUAAUGUAAUUGUUGAUUUUAAAUCUUCAUUGACAUAAUCUUAAGCUAAUAUUUGUUUUACACCCUUAAACAACCUUUUUAUUCUAUUUUUUCUCUUAAUCUCCCACCUCGAGUUUUGGGGUGUGACAAUUUUGCUCUUAGCAACUAGAGGCAUAAUGUGCUAAUUUACUGCAUUAUUAGUUGCAGAUAAUCAAACUUCCACUUAAAAGAUGGAUAUUCAAAAUCCCACCAUUUCCCUUCAAGUAUAGAAUGUAAACUUAACUUGUGUAAUUAAAAUGUGAACCAUAAUAUAAUUAAGGAAUCUUAUCCUCUCUAAUAAUUGAGCAACAACGUUAAAAAUAUUUGAUGCAAAUCGAAGUGAUCUUUUAAUUUAUGCAGAGAAUACCAUGCAUGCUAGCUAGUUAUUUUGAAUUCUGAUUUUGACCUAUAUUAAUGAUUGUUAAGUAGCACUGAGAACUCAUAUCAACAAGUUGUAAAUUUUGUUUUAACGUCCCCCGUUGGUAUAAACUGUUUGAAUUGUUGGGUGGAUGUGUUGUUUAUGUUGUUAUAUUGUGUGCAGGUUUUAGGAAAUGUUAUAGUUUUAGGGGAGGUUCUGUCAAAUUUUCGGUAGCAAAUAGAAAUCAUCUAAUGUUUACUUUGUUUAUUUGGUAGGUAAAAAAAAAAAAAAAAAAAACCAGGGGCCCUUGUAGACUACAAAAGACUUCUCAGACCACUCACACCACGACCCAGAAGAUCACCAUUACGUGGGAUCCUCGACAUCGUGCGGCUACAACAAAGGAGCAGCAUCGUGUGUUGGCCACGGACGUUGGUUGCGUUAUCAGGAGCCAUUGCCCCCUCAGGUGGGAGCCAUGGAGAGCUGUGCCACAAGAAACCAAUGACGCCGUGCUUUAUGAAUUAUCGGUAAGUAUUUUCAACCUCAAAUACUACAUUUUAAUUAAAGUAUACAAAGAUUAUAAAUUUUAACUACUAUUUAUUUGUUGAGUUUUGCAGCAUCACUAUGAGCUCUCCAACCUCGAUUCCAACCAAAUGGAAUACCUCAACGACCUUUGCUCCAAUAGGUUCACUCAAUGGAAGAGCGACCUCCACAAGCAUUAUGAGCUAUAUGACGGUCUGGAGGUCGCUCUAGAAGUUGGGUGCCCUAUGGAGUUGCUGGACCAUCGGGAUGUGGCUCUGCGGCCAUUUUCAAGAUGAGAAAUACUUGUGAACAGAAAAAAGUGAAGGCAAACUCGAUCAAUCGGUCGAAGAAAAAACUUCUUCACCGAUCUGGGUCACAACGCUUCUCUUAUAGGUUGGAGGUACGACGUAAGGGGGGUCAAAGUUUCCUAAAAUUGACAUGUUCAAGGAGGUGUACGUUCGGCCCGGGGAUGAGCUGACGGAGCAGCUUCAUGUAAGUUCUUUCACAUUUAUAAUGUUCAAUUUGUAUUAGUAUUAAUUACAUUUAUAUUCAUAUUAAUUUGUUUUUUUUCAUUUUUCUAGUCCACCAUGGUGGA